rnacentral:lncRNA from 1 species
AAUGUUUGUGGAAGUGCUAGAAAUUUUGCAACAGAGAAUAUAGUAGUUAAUCAAUAACAACUGAAACUUGAUGCAUGCAAAAUAUAGCUGACAGAUUGAAAAAUGUCAUUGGUAUUAAAGAGAAGACAGGGGACAAAAACACUACUAUACAAUACAUCAGCGACACCAGUUAUAUAUUUUUCAGUAAAGUGACAAAAAAAUGUAUCUUAGUUACAUGGCAUAGUUCUGGCAGAAAAAUAGUAGCAUCUCAGUCCUGCAUCUGCAUGGCUGAAGUGCUCCUUGUGUAACUGAAAAUGCUAUCACCAUUCAACGAACUGACAACAGUCUAAAGUACACUAAUAAAUAAGAUAGCUCCAUGAAUGCAAACCUCCAUUAUCACAUAUUCUGCAACAGACAACCUUAAAGAAAGAGAGGAGAAAUAUAUUCAUAUAUUUUCAAGUCUCCACUGGCACAACUGACAAAACAAAUAAUGACAUUCCAAUGUACUUCAUAAGAAGGAAAAAAGUACAAAAUUCUGGUCCAGGAGCUUUUCUUUACGCUACCCCGUUUUUCUUUUCAUUCAUUAAAAAAAAGGGAAAUGGAAUCCAUGUAGAAGAGAGAGACCACGUUGAUAGAAUUUAAUUAUAAAUAGCAAAUAACCACCGAAUAAAGUAGUAUUGGGUUGGGAUUUAAUUAAAGAGGUUGCCAGAUCAGGAACGACAAAGGCAAGAGAUAGGUUGGGAUUUACCAUGUCUCAAAAAUCAUUAAGAUCACCCACGCCCGUCUCCUCUCCAAAAGCUGGCACUGAGAGCAAUGUGAUACAUUACAUGAUUUAGAAUAAAAGUUUACUUAUAUAGUAUUAAAUAAAUUCUUUCAUUACAGAAGGAACGUCGUGCUAAUACAAGGAAUUAGACAGAACUGGCAUUUGCAUUUAGCUAUCCCUUUUUUUUAGUUGUUGCUCAAAACUAACAGUAACAGGAGCCAUGUCUGAUCAAUAAUUCCCUCUUAUCAUGAUUCAUGAACCAUGUAUAUUCUAUUAAUUCUGAUUCCUUCUAGGCCAAUGAUUUUUGCCUUCUUUUGAAUGAUUUAAACAGUUGAUAAAUGAUAGCACUGGGAAGAACAGAAACAAAGUCAGGCUUAAUUUUGUACUUGUAAAUAGUACCAGGGUCUUACCAAAGCAAACAAUUUGUAUUGCAUGGACAUGGGUUUAUGCCUAAUUAGCUAUCACAAGGAUGUACUUGCAUUAUCACCCUCCUACAGUAUAUAGUGGGCAAGCAACCAAUGAGCACUCACACAACUAAAAAUAUAAUAGAUAAUAGAAAAUAUGAAUAGCUAAUAAUGCGUAAAUGGCUGUUUCGGAUUUACUAAAAAAACAUUCUUGUAGCGUCCACAAUAGGAGCCUCUGGUUCACUUGUUUGCAUUGUUGUCAUGUGGUCGUUGCCUUCUUGACCAUCAACAUCAGAGGUUCACGCAUCCUGAAGAAGGCCAUCAUCACCAGGCCCUGCUAAAUCAAAUAAACAUAUCACCACUGGUAAGAGUCUCACUCAGUAUUAAUGGCAUGAACAGAGCUAGCUAAAGCUAACCAAAUCAAUCAACAGGACCAGAGAAAACCAGUUGACCUAUAGAAGCAAGGGGAACCUACAAGCGGAGAAGGGUGCGGUGGUGCUAGCAAACAAGGGAG